UACAGAGGGUGCGAGCGUUGUCCGGAAUCACUGGGCGUAAAGGGCGCGUAGGUGGCUUGCUAAGCGUGUGGUGAAAGCCCGGGGCUCAACCCCGGGUCGGCCGUGCGAACUGGUGAGCUGGAGCACUGUAGAGGCAGGUGGAAUUCCGGGUGUAGCGGUGGAAUGCGUAGAGAUCCGGAAGAACACCGGUGGCGAAGGCGGCCUGCUGGGCAGUUGCUGACACUGAGGCGCGACAGCGUGGGGAGCAAACAGG
rnacentral:rRNA from 1 species